rnacentral:rRNA from 1 species
CAGCCGCCGCGGGAAUACGAAGGGGGCUAGCGUUGCUCGGAAUGACUGGGCGUAAAGGGCGCGAAGGCGGCUUGCACAGUCAGAUGUGAAAUUCCUGGGCUCAACCUGGGGACUGCAUUUGAUACGUGUGGGCUUGAGUGGAGAAGAGGGUUGUGGAAUUUCCAGUGUAGAGGUGAAAUUCGUAGAUAUUGGAAAGAACACCGGUGGCGAAGGCGGCAACCUGGUCUUUAACUGACGCUGAGGCGCGAAAGCGUGGGGAGCAAACAGGAUUAGAGACCCCUGUAGUCCCUGUCUCUUAUAC